GCUGGGUGUGGUGGUGCACACCUGUAGUCAUAGCUACUUGGGAGGCUGCGGCAGGAGGAUGGCUUGAGUCCAGGAGUUCAAGGCUGCAGUGAGCUAUGAACAUGCCACUGUAUUCCAGCCUGGGUAACAGAGCAAGACCCUGUCCCAU
ensembl:misc_RNA Metazoa_SRP Metazoan signal recognition particle RNA